rnacentral:lncRNA from 1 species
CCUUAGAGAAGACAAUUAUUUUUCGCGUUUAUAUAUCUACAUGUAAACUACGAUUAUACUACUUUAAUAUAUAGAGACUGUCUGUAUUCUGUCAGGGACUUUCUAUGUUAGUAUGUUAGUAUAGAAAGUCGGCCCUGAUUCUGUCUACUGUUUUCUUUGAAAUUUUUACUAUUUAAGGGGUCAUACCACUUGCAUAUAUAUUAAAAUAAGUAAAACAUGCUCAACUUCAUCUAAAACUACCUCGACCAAAAACUUUAACCUGAAGCGGGACAGACACGGACGGACGAACGAACGAACGGAUGUACAGACUAGAAAACAUAAUGCCCAUAAAUGGGGCAUAACAAUUUAUUGUUGAAAGGGAAAAUAG